CCAAAUCACAACAAGGUUGACUCAAGGCACAUCACACAAGUAAGUCUAACUUUAUCAACCCUCAGAGCAAGCCCACAGGCAGCAGUGGUAUGGAAAAACUCCCUCUGAGGAAGAAACCUCAAGCAGACCAGACUCAAAGGGGUGACCCUCUGCUUGGGCCAUGCUACAGACACAAAUUACAAAACAAUU